rnacentral:rRNA from 1 species
GGCGGACGGGUGAGUAACGCGUGGGAACGUGCCUUCUGGUUCGGAAUAACCCUGGGAAACUAGGGCUAAUACCGGAUACGCCCUUUUGGGGAAAGGUUUACUGCCGGAAGAUCGGCCCGCGUCUGAUUAGCUAGUUGGUGGGGUAACGGCCUACCAAGGCGACGAUCAGUAGCUGGUCUGAGAGGAUGAUCAGCCACACUGGGACUGAGACACGGCCCAGACUCCUACGGGAGGCAGCAGUGGGGAAUAUUGGACAAUGGGCGCAAGCCUGAUCCAGCCAUGCCGCGUGAGUGAUGAAGGCCUUAGGGUUGUAAAGCUCUUUUAUCCGGGACGAUAAUGACGGUACCGGAGGAAUAAGCCCCGGCUAACUUCGUGCCAGCAGCCGCGG